AUUGAACGCUGGCGGCAUGCCUUACACAUGCAAGUCGAACGGUAACAGGUCUUCGGAUGCUGACGAGUGGCGAACGGGUGAGUAAUACAUCGGAACGUGCCUAGUGGUGGGAGAUAACUACUCGAAAGAGUGGCUAAUACCGCAUGAGAUCUACGGAUGAAAGCAGGGGAGCGCAAGACCUUGUGCUACUAGAGCGGCCGGUGGCAGAUUAGGUAGUUGGUGGGAUAAAAGCUUACCAAGCCGACGAUCUGUAGCUGGUCUGAGAGGACGAUCAGCCACACUGGGACUGAGACACGGCCCAGACUCCUACGGGAGGCAGCAGUGGGGAAUUUUGGACAAUGGGCGCAAGCCUGAUCCAGCAAUGCCGCUUGCAGGAUGAAGGCCUUCGGGUUGUAAACUGCUUUUGUACGGAACGAAAAGCCCCGGGUUAAUACCCUGGGGUCAUGACGGUACCGUAAGAAUAAGCACCGGCUAACUACGUGCCAGCAGCCGCAGUAA
rnacentral:rRNA from 1 species